rnacentral:tRNA from 1 species
GUACGGUGGUUCAGUGGUAGAGUGCUGGCCUGCCACGCGGGCGGCCCGGGUUCGAUUCCCGGCCGACG